rnacentral:rRNA from 1 species
CGAGUGGAAGCGGGAAGAGCACAAAUUUUAAAUCUACCUGGGUUUCCAGGUCGAGUUGUAAUUUGAAGAAGUGUUUUUUACUUUCCGGGUUGGGUUAAAUCCUUUGGGAUAAGGUAUCAUGGAGGGUGAGAAUCCCGUGUAUACCAACCGCAGGAUUGUUUAAUAUACACUUUCUAAGAGUCGAGUUGUUUGGGAAUGCAGCUCUAAAUGGGUGGUAAAUUUCACCUAAUGCUAAAUAUAAGCGAGAGACCGAUAGCGAACAAGUACCGUGAGGGAAAGAUGAAAAGAACUUUGAAAAGAGAGUUAAAUAGUACGUGAAAUUGUUGAAAGGGAAACGGUUGAAGUCAGUCAUGCCGGCGGGAAUCAACUUAGGGGAAACUCUGAGUGCACUUCUUCGCUUGGCAGGUUAGCGUCGAUUUUGGAUGUCAUAAAAUGACUGGGGGAAGGUAGCUCUUUCGGGAGUGUUAAGCCCUUGGUAGAUGUGAUGUCUGGGAUCGAGGAUUGCAACGGAUACCUUUUGGGCUAGCCGCCUAGUCUCUAAUACGAAGUUGGGUUAUGGACCAGCACGCUGACUGUGAUCUGAUUUUCGGUUAAAAGAUUAGAGCGAGUGUAAAUUCGUAAGG